UAUGAAGAUCUACAGCCAAAUGUUUCUCUCUGGACUUGGAGCAGAACAGCUCUUCUGAUGAACAAUAUUAAUCUUAUCUUCUGAUUCUGUUUUCCAUGUUGUUCCUCGAGGAAUUGUUAACUUCGUUCCUAGCAUGGUUUAGAGCCGGUGGUGUGAACUUUCAGCCAAUGUCUACUGAUUAAAAAGCCUGUAAUAACAGGAAAACUAAUGAACAUUACAGUCUACAUUCAAGUGCAGAGAAAUAAUUUCCGCCAAAGACAAGGAGAUGAUUAAUUGAAGAUAUCAUUAAAUACAUUAUAAUAAAUAUUUUUGCACCUGAUAAUUAGAUGAUAUGACCAAGAAACAGUCUCACUAUGUCACCCAGGCUGGUCUUGAGCUCCUGGCCUCAAGCGAUCCUCCUGCCUUGGCCUCCCAAGGUGCUGGGGUUAUAGGCAUGAGCCACUGUGCCUAAUCUGUGCCAUUUCUUAUGCUACCUCAUUUAAAUAAAAAGCCUGUUCUUUAUCUUCUUCUGUGAAAAAUGUGCCUACCCUUCAACAAUAAGUUCAAAACCAUGCUCCUUAUAAAGUUUCUCCUGAAAUCACCCACACAGUACUCAGUUCCCUGCUCCACUGUGUGCCUCUUUAAGUCCACUCCACCCUGCAUAUCUCUGUUUUGUGGUCCUUCCCCACUAGGGGUUUUGUUAUAAUCCUUCAUGCACUUAUCUUAGUCCUAACUCUUGCAGGGUGGUACCAUGUCUUAAAUGCAGGCUGAAUCUAUUUAUGUAAGCAUGAAUCCAUUGCUUACUUAGCAAACAGUUUUUGGCUCUGUGCACAACCCCAGCACCCAGCAAACAGGAGCCCUCCUCCCGAAGGCAAGGCACACCCAGCAGGUGAGAGGGCCAGUCCUGCUGGUGCACAACUGGCAGUGCCUCCAGAAUGGAUGGAUGCAGAGCACUUCUCGGAAGCCCCAAGUGACAAGAGUGGAAGCUUGAAGGGUAAGCAGAAUGUUCUGGAGAAGAGGAGUGGUGGCAGGGAAGGGGGCAAAGCGGGAGGGAUAGAGAGGAAUUAAAACAAUCAGAAGAGAACUUCAUCAAUUUUCUGACAAUAAACCUACAGACGUUAAUAGCUUCUUCCCUAUCUUGUCACAAAGGAAAAGGGGCUCUUCUUUCUAAGGUCCCCUCCCCGCCAACACACACACCUGUCCUGUGCCUUCUGAAUGUCUCCUCUCAGGAUCUCUCGUGUGCCCCCUGAUGGGAAUUUAAUAGUGCGUUAAAUAAUACCAAAGUUUCUGCCAUCUUACAGCAAACAAACAAACCAAGACAAACCUCAGCCUACCCUCCUCUACUUGGCACACUCCCUCCUCUCCCCUGGGGGUCACCUCUUUGUCACCUUUCCUGUCAGCACUUUGGCUUCCUCACCCACCACAUGGGCAGAAGCAAGUCUUCCAGAGGAGGGAGGGCUGCGUGGUUAAGCAUCAAUGGCAGGGGUCUGAGUCCCAGCUCUGUCACCUCCAAGCUCUGUGACCUAAGCCAAGCUGGCACUAAACUUUUCUGGGUUUCACUUACCUCCUCUAUAAUAUUAGGGGUGCUUUUGAGGGUUAAAUCAAGAUAGUAUAUGAAGCAUUUAACACAGUGCUUGGCAUACAGUAAGUGCUCAGUACCUGAGAGCUAUUAUAAUAAUGGCUAUGGCUUUCUGCAAAUCUAUCUGUUCUGUUUCUUCCUAUUUUACCUGGCCCUUUGGCAGCAUUUGACACAGAUGAUGCCCUCCUCCUUCCUAGAUGAUCCCUUUCCGUGACUUUUAUGUAGCCCACUCUCCCAGUGUUCUUCCUCAUUCUCUAGCCUCUUGAAUUUCUCUUUAUUGCCUCUGUAACUCCUUCUCCCUGCUGCUCCUUGGGAUGUUCUAUUCUUCAGGGUCAGUCUUCAGUCUCUUUAGCAGCUUUAACUACUUAAUUUCCAGCUGAACUACAAACCAACUAGUUCAUUUUCUCCUGCAUCACAAAAAUUAUAAAUCCAAGCACCUAUUGACACAUACCUCAAACUCAGUAAAUAAAAAAUAGAAUUUGCUAUUCCUCACACAUCUAUUCUUUUUCAUAUUGACUUUAUUGCAGAGAACGACACCUAAUUGUCCAAAUCAGAAACUUGGUUAUAAAAGGCAACCAAAAUAAGGGCAAAGAGAAGCACCUGGAAUCAUCCUAAGGAAGAUGGAAUGGAAUCACUACUGUCUUUUUAGCACUCACUCUGCGCCAGUCGCCGGGCCACGCACUAUACAUAGAUACCUUUUAUUUUCUCAACUUCCUGAAUACAGGGAAUUUAACUACAUGGAGAAGACCACUGAGGUUCCAAAAGGGUUAGUUACCUUGACCCCUCCCCUCUCUCACCCACAUGGAAAGAAGGGGAUACUUAUUUCUUGUUCCCCAAGAAGAGGGAAGAUUCUCCAAAACCCUUUGUCUCCUACCUCUCCCUACAGGGGAGGUGGUAUGCCUUAAUCCACUUGGUGAGUUGGUAGAAUGAACUUGAAGUUCAGUUUCACUCCUUCCCUACCUCUCAAGAGCAUGCACACUGAGCUGAGCUGAGCUGACCUUCUGAGAACAUUCGUGCUGAGCGGAACUGCGAGAGAGGCUCUCACGUGGAAGAACUAAAGCUGUUCCAUGCUGUCUGGAGCAGUGGGUAUGUCCAAUUCUGGGGCUCAGUGUUAAGAAAUCUGUUAUUCCUGAUUAUCCAAACCCCAUCUUUCAACUUUC